GAGCACUGCGGCAGCACAUAUAUUCAAACUGGAAUGAUACAGAGAAGAUUAGCAUGGCGUCUGCGCAAGGUUGACAUGCAAAUUCGUGAAGCGUUCUGUAUUUUU